rnacentral:rRNA from 1 species
GAAGCUAGCAAUCCCAUAAACCGUGGCUCAGUUCAGGUCGUAGGCUGCAACUCGCCUACGUGAAGUAGGAAUCGCUAGUAAUCGCAGGUCAGCAUACUGCGGUGAAUACGUUCCCGGGCCUUGUACACACCGCCCGUCACACCAUGGAAGUUGGCCAUGCCCGAAGUCGUUACUCCAACCCUUGUGGAGGAGGACGCCGAAGGUGGGGCUAAUGACUGGGGUGAAGUCGUAACAAGGUAGCCGUACCGGAAGGUGCGGCUGGAUCACCUCCUAA